UGGGGUUCAAUUUUCAGAAUUAUGUUUUACUUUUAAAAAAAUUCUACUGUUCAUUGCUUUUUCGGCAACUUUUCGGCCAGUCACCACCCUAAAGCCCCUUUCAUUUUUUUUAAUAUUUUUCCAUCCAAGCUAACAACCAGUAUGCUGCCCAACUUCUUCUUCCUUCAUCACCGUUUCGAGCAGCCGGCAACUUCACCACCAUCGGAGUUACAAGACCACCGAAACCCCACCUCCAUUUUUCCUUUUCUUCUCCAAACCAGUUCCAAAACUCCCUUCCUUUUUCCGUCACAAUUUUCAGCUAAGAAACCACCGGAAACACACCUAUUUUCACCACCAGUGACCACCAGACACCACCACAAGCUCGAACCACCAAGCUCCGGAAAAGAGCACCCAAUGUACAGUUCCCCUCCCCCUUUCCCUCUUACGAUUCUCCUCUUUUUGCAGGUAUUCAGUGAAUCUCUAAACUCCAGCGAGAAUGAACAAACAAGAACAACUAAAAUUUCUAAAUCUGCCUGAAUUUUCUAUUUUUCCGGUACUAUGUCAAUGUGGGAACGUUGUGGAAAUGAAGACCUCGUGAACGCAAUCCAAUCCUGGACGUAGGUUCCUUUGUUGCAAAACUUCAAAGGCACGAGGUGGAUGUGGAUAUUUUCGAUGGUAUGAUGAUGAAAUGCCUGCUCAAGCUAGGAGGGUGAUAUGGGGUUUGUUGAAAAGAGUCAAAACAUAUGAAUUGGAGAGGAAUCGAUCAAGAAAAGUAUGGAUAAUAUGCAUCAUCGUAGGGGUGAUAUUGGCUACUUGGAUUUGUGUAACAAAAUAAUCUUAGUUGAUUCAUUUGUCUUCUAUUAGAUUCCUUCAUAAAAGUAUGUAUGGUAGAUUCUAGUGUUCUUUAUGGGCAAUUUAGAUCGAUUUUUCUAUUGUAAAUGCCUUGUGUUUUUAUUGUAAUGAUUUAAUUGAAGGAAUGAAGAUAAUUUGUGCCUCAAAAGCAGUAAAAA